rnacentral:rRNA from 1 species
AACGUAGGUGGCGAGCGUUAUCCGGAUUUACUGGGCGUAAAGCGUGUGCAGGCGGGGGAACAAGUGGUGUAUGAAAUGGCUCGGCUAAACCGGGCAGCGGUAUGCCAGACUGUUUUCCUGGAGUGCGAGAGAGGGGCGUGGAAUUCCGGGUGUAGUGGUGAAAUGCGUAGAGAUCCGGAGGAACCCCAGAGGCGAAGGCGGCGCCCUGGCUCGCAACUGACGCUCAGACACGACAGCAUGGGGAGCGGAACGGG